GGGAAUGCGGUGCCUGGACCAGCGGAAAUGCGGCGGGUGCAGACUUUAGUCGGAAUUGCGUGUCAUGAAGCGCACGUGUGCGGUUAUCUAAGUCAGAUGUGCAAUCACCGUGCGUAACCUGGGAACUGCAGCGGAUACUGGAAUACUAGAAUGUGGGUGACGAGAGUGGAAUUUCCGGUGUACCGAUGACAGGCAUAGAGAUCGGAAGCAACACCAGUGGCGAAGGCGUCUCUCAGGACCAACAUUGACGCUGAGUUGCGAAAGCGUGGGUAGCAAACAGGAUUAGAUACCCGGGUAGUC
rnacentral:rRNA from 1 species